CAGCUAGCCAAAGAGGCUAGAUGCAGCCUGCACUCAUCCCAUUUGCUCCUGCAGUAAAACAGGAGGAUCAGAGAGCACGUGAGUGAAUGAGCACAUACCCACUGUUCAUCUUGCAAGAAAAAGAGAAUUUGGGGAUGUGAGAAAAUAAAAUGUGCUUGGACUUCAAAGCAAAACACAUCAAGAGUGGCAAGAAAAACACUAACUUACUUCACUGGUAAUGGUUGCAGGAUCAUCUACUGCCAUCAUUAAGUCCGAAGCUAAGAAGUUGAAAAUGAGAUUAGUGAUAUCAG